rnacentral:rRNA from 1 species
CGUAGGGCGAGCGUUAUCCGGAAUUAUUGGGCGUAAAGCGCGCGCAGGCGGCUGAUUAAGUCAGGUGUGAAAGGCUGCGGCUCAACCGCAGAGCGGCACCUGAAACUGGUCAGCUUGAGUGCAGGAGAGGGGAGCGGAAUUCCCGGUGUAGCGGUGGAAUGCGUAGAGAUCGGGAGGAACACCAGUGGCGAAGGCGGCUCUCUGGCCUGUAACUGACGCUGAGGCGCGAAAAGCGUGGGAGCAAACAGGAUU